UAGGGAAUCUUCGGCAAUGGACGAAAGUCUGACCGAGCAACGCCGCGUGAGUGAAGAAGGUUUUCGGAUCGUAAAACUCUGUUGUUAGAGAAGAACAAGGACGUUAGUAACUGAACGUCCCCUGACGGUAUCUAACCAGAAAGCCACGGCUAACUACGUGCCAGCAGCCGCGGUAAUACGUAGGUGGCAAGCGUUGUCCGGAGUUAUUGGGCGUAAAGCGAGCGCAGGCGGUUUCUUAAGUCUGAUGUGAAAGCCCCCGGCUCAACCGGGGAGGGUCCUUGGAAACUGGGGGACUUGAGUGCGGAAGAGGAGAGUGGAAUUCCAAGUGUAGCGGUGAAAUGCGUAGAUAUAUGGAGGAACACCAGUGGCGAAGGCGGCUCUCUGGUCUGUAACUGACGCUGAGGCUCGAAAGCGUGGGGAGCAAACAGG
rnacentral:rRNA from 1 species